rnacentral:rRNA from 1 species
CACGGGUGAGUAACGCGUAUGCAACUUGCCUAUCAGAGGGGGAUAACCCGGCGAAAGUCGGACUAAUACCGCAUGAAGCAGGGAUCCCGCAUGGGAAUAUUUGCUAAAGAUUCAUCGCUGAUAGAUAGGCAUGCGUUCCAUUAGGCAGUUGGCGGGGUAACGGCCCACCUAGUCUUCGAUGGAUAGGGGUUCUGAGAGGAAGGUCCCCCACAUUGGAACUGAGACACGGUCCAA